rnacentral:tRNA from 1 species
GCUGGAAUAAUAUAACGGUAGUAUGGAUGAUUUGUACUCAUCACGUGAGGGUUCAAUUCCUUCUUCCAGCACCA